GUCCCUGUAGCUUACAGCCAAAGCAUGACACUGAAGAUGUUAAGACGGUACUUUCCAUCUACCCAAGGACA
rnacentral:tRNA from 1 species